UACGAAGGGGGCUAGCGUUGCUCGGAAUUACUGGGCGUAAAGGGAGCGUAGGCGGACUGUUAAGUUAGAGGUGAAAGCCCAGGGCUCAACCUUGGAAUUGCCUUUGAUACUGGCAGUCUUGAGUACGGAAGAGGUAUGUGGAACUCCGAGUGUAGAGGUGAAAUUCGUAGAUAUUCGGAAGAACACCAGUGGCGAAGGCGGUCUGCUGGGGUCGAACUGACGCUGAGGCGCGACAGCGUGGGGAGCAAACAGG
rnacentral:rRNA from 1 species